GAAGGAAAAAAGACAGGAGAAUCCAGUUUCCAGUUUUUAUACUAUUUUCCCCGUCUCUCUCUCUCUCUCCUCCCCCUGUUUCUCUCUCUCCCUCUUCCUCCCCACCCUCUCCGCCGCAUCCCCGUCUCCCCCGACCCUCACCCCCACCCCGCUGCUCCCGUCCAAACCCUAACCCUAAACCCCACCCGCGCCUCCAUCCAAUCCCUGCCUGGCGCCCACCCGUCCCCGGCGGCCCGGAUUCGGAUUCGCCGCGCCGGACCGAUUCGAUCGAUGUAGGCAGCGAGCAUCGCUGCCCACUCCGUACACAAGACACGCGCCCCCGCCUCGAGAUGGCUGCUGCGGGGUGACAAGGAGGAGGGGAGAGUAGUAGAGGGAGCGCCCAAGCGUAGAUGGCAUUGGGAGAUCUCAUGGCGUCCAGGCUCGUGCACUCGUCCUCAUCGUCGUCCUCGUCCUCGCUGCCCACUCCCUCCUUGGCGGCGGUGAACCACCAGACGGACCGCGUGGAUGGUGAGCUCCCUGUCGCGAACGGGCCGGAGCUUCGGAGGGAGGACGCCGGCGAGGAGGAUGAGGAGGGGAAGGCCGUUGCGCUCGUGCCGUGCCUGCCGCAGGUGGUUGUGCUGUGCGAGCAGCGGCACGAGGGGUUCGAUGAGGCCGUCGCUGCCGCGGCGGGGCCAUCGACCAGCGGCCUCGUCUCCAAGUGGCGCCCCAAGGACAGGAUGAAGACUGGAUGUGUUGCACUUGUAUUAUGUUUAAACAUUAGUGUUGAUCCGCCGGAUGUAAUUAAAAUUUCCCCUUGUGCAAGAAUGGAGUGUUGGAUAGAUCCAUUUUCUAUGCCACCUCCCAAAGCCCUUGAAACUAUUGGAAAAACAUUACACUCACAGUAUGAGCGGUGGCAGCCUAAGGCUCGUUACAAGCUUCAGCUGGAUCCAACAGUCGAAGAAGUCAAGAAGCUUUGUAAUACUUGCCGCAAAUAUGCCAGAUCAGAGAGAGUUCUUUUUCAUUACAAUGGUCAUGGUGUACCAAAGCCUACAGCUAAUGGAGAGAUUUGGGUGUUUAACAAGAGUUAUACACAAUAUAUCCCUCUUCCUAUUACUGAUCUCGAUUCAUGGCUGAAAACACCAUCGAUUUAUGUUUUUGACUGCUCAGCAGCUGGAAUGAUUGUGAAAGCUUUUCUAGAGCGCCUAGACUGGAGUUCAAGCUCUUCUGCGUCCUCAGUGAAGGAUUGCAUUCUCCUUGCUGCCUGUGAGGCACAUCAAACUCUUCCUCAGAGUGCAGAAUAUCCCGCUGAUGUGUUUACAGCUUGCCUGACCACUCCCAUAAAAAUGGCAUUGCACUGGUUUUGUAAACGAUCAUUACUCAGUGGUGCUCUGGAUCACUCUCUUAUUGACCAAAUUCCUGGAAGGCAAAAUGACCGUAAAACACUUCUGGGGGAGUUGAACUGGAUUUUCACUGCUAUUACAGAUACUAUUGCAUGGAAUGUUCUUCCUCAUGAAUUAUUCCAAAGGCUUUUCAGGCAGGAUCUUUUGGUCGCCAGUCUCUUUCGCAACUUCUUACUUGCUGAGAGAAUCAUGCGAUCUGCAAACUGUUCUCCAAUUACAUACCCACUAUUGCCACCCACACAUCAACACCAUAUGUGGGAUGCAUGGGACAUGGCUGCGGAGAUCUGCCUUUCCAAGCUUCCUCAUUUGAUUGCUGAUCCUAAUGCAGAGUUUCAGCCGAGCCCAUUUUUCACGGAGCAAUUGACAGCAUUUGAAGUUUGGCUUGAUCAUGGCUCUGAGGAUAAGAAACCACCUGAACAGUUACCCAUUGUUCUUCAGGUCCUGCUUAGCCAAUCACACAGAUUUAGAGCACUUGUUCUGCUUGGAAGAUUUCUUGAUAUGGGGCCAUGGGCAGUUGAUUUGGCCUUGUCUGUUGGUAUCUUCCCUUACGUGCUCAAACUGCUCCAAACAAGUGCGAUGGAGUUGCGUCAAAUUCUUGUGUUCAUAUGGACAAAAAUUCUCUCUCUUGAUAAGUCAUGCCAGGUUGAUUUGGUGAAAGAUGGAGGGCAUGCAUAUUUUAUCAGGUUUCUUGAUAGUUUGGAUGCUUACCCGGAGCAGCGUGCAAUGGCUGCUUUCGUUUUAGCAGUUAUUGUGGAUGGGCAUAGGAGGGGUCAAGAGGCUUGCAUGAGUGCAGGUCUUAUAGAUGUUUGCCUGAGACAUCUGCAACCUGAGAAUCCUCAUGAUGCACAGACAGAGCCUUUGCUUUUGCAAUGGCUUUGUUUAUGCCUUGGCAAACUCUGGGAAGAUUUCCCUGAGGCUCAGUUACUUGGUCUACAAUCAAAUGCACCCGAAAUUGUUACAUGUUUAUUGUCUGAGCCUCAACCUGAGGUCAGAGCCUCUGCUGUUUUUGCACUUGGAAAUCUGUUGGACAUUGGAUCUCCAUCAGUGAAUGGAGGUGAUGACGACUCUGAUGAUGAUGAAAAGGUGAGAGCUGAAAUAAAUGUUGUUCGAAGCCUUCUGCAAGUCACUUCAGAUGGUAGCCCUCUUGUUAGAGCUGAGGUUUCUGUAGCUCUUACUCGCUUUGCGCUGGGCCACAACAAACAUCUCAAAUCUGUUGCUGCGGAGUACUGGAGACCUCAAACCAAUUCACUGCUGAAGUCACUACCAUCAUUGGCUAAUAUUAAUAACCCAAGCAAUGUUUACAGUCCCAGUAACUUUCUGCAAAGCAGCAGUGGCCUUUCUUCGCAUAUUGGUCCUGUGUUAAGGGUUGGUAGUGAUACCAGUGCCACAGGUCGUGAUGGAAGAAUUUCUACAAGCAGCCCGAUUGCGACAAAUAGCAUCAUGCAUGGGUCUCCCCAGUCAGAUGAUUCUUCUCAGCACUCUGAUUCAGGCAUAUUGCUUAGAGAGAAUGCAAGUAACGGUGGUCUCAGCUACACCAGGUCAAGGCCUAUUAUUGACAGUGGAAUUUAUUCCCUAUUUAUUUCGACGAUGUGCUCUGUUGCUAAAGAUCCUUACCCUAGAAUUGCAAAUAUUGGCCGGAGAGCACUGUCCCUUGUAGGGGUCGAGCAAGUGGUCAUGAGAAAUACUAGAUUUGGCAGUGGGGGUGCAGGAGAGACAUCUGCUCCUUCAUCAAACAUAGGAAUGGCACGUUCUUCUUCCUGGUUCGACAUGAAUUCUGGAAUCUCAAUGGCAUUUAGGACUCCUCCUGUUAGUCCACCUCAGCAUGAUUACCUUACAGGGUUGCGCCGCGUGUGUUCUAUGGAGUUCAGACCACAUCUCUUGAAUUCACCUGAUGGCUUAGCUGAUCCGCUCUUAAGCUCUGCUGCAGCCCCCAGUACCAGUGAGCUUAAUAUACUUCCUCAAUCAACAAUAUACAACUGGAGUUGUGGCCACUUCUCUAGGCCACUUCUAACCGGUUCUGAUGAUAAUGGGGAAGUAAGUGCUAGAAGAGAAGAGAGAGAACGAACUGCACUGGAUUGCAUCGCUAAGUGCCAGCGUUCCUCAUGCAAGAUGACUAGCCAAAUUGCUAGCUGGGAUACAAAGUUUGAGUUGGGUACAAAAUCAGCAUUGCUGUUACCUUUUUCUCCUAUCGUCGUUGCAGCUGAUGAAAACGAGCAAAUAAGAGUGUGGAAUUAUGACGAUGCUCUACCAGUGAAUACUUUUGAAAACCACAAGUUAUCUGACAGAGGACUAUCCAAACUUCUACUUAUCAAUGAGCUUGAUGAAAGCUUGCUUUUAGUUGGCUCAAGUGAUGGAAAUGUCCGUAUAUGGAGAAACUAUACUCAAAAGGGAGGACAGAAACUUGUAACUGCCUUCUCAUCAGUUCAGGGCCAUCGAGCUGCAGGCCGCAGCGUUGUGAUCGACUGGCAACAGCAAUCUGGUUAUCUGUAUGCAUCUGGUGACAUGUCUUCCAUCCUCGUAUGGGAUCUUGACAAGGAGCAACUUCUCAACACCAUUCCAUCAUCUGCUGAUAGUGGCAUUUCAGCUCUGUCUGCAUCUCAGGUUAGACCUGGUCAAUUUGCUGCCGGUUUUAUUGAUGCAUCCGUAAGGAUAUUUGAUGUUCGUACCCCUGACAGGCUAGUUUACAUGGCAAGACCACAUGCCCCAAGAACUGAAAAGGUCGUCGGUAUAGGAUUUCAGCCUGGAUUUGAUCCAUACAAGAUUGUAAGCGCAUCUCAAGCUGGAGACAUUCAGUUUCUUGAUGUUAGAAGGGCUGCUGAACCCUACCUCACUAUUGAAGCUCACAGGGGUUCGUUAACAGCAUUGGCUGUUCACCGGCAUGCUCCAGUCAUUGCAAGUGGCUCAGCUAAGCAGAUGAUUAAAGUGUUCAGUCUUGAAGGAGAACAGCUAACAAUCAUUCGCUACCAGCCAUCUUUUAUGGGCCAAAGGAUAGGAAGUGUAAACUGCCUUUCGUUCCAUCCGUACAAAUCUCUCCUGGCUGCUGGAGCUGGUGAUAAUGCUCUGGUCUCUAUCUAUGCUGAGGACAAUUAUCAAGUAAGAUGAGGUCUACAUCCUGUGGCAUGCAAUGACGACACAAUCAGUAGGCCAUAUGAUUGGCUGACUGCUGGAUCCGCAGCAGGUUCAGCUACAAGAUACAAGAUGAUACAAAGCCUGGUCAGUGACAUGGUGGUGAUUGCAGUGCUGUGGCUUUUUGGUCCAUAUUGCUUGUGUUGGGCAUCUACAUCUCUGGUCGGCGAGUGCAAUUUGUAAGAUACAAAUCAAGAUUCAUUAGCCUCCCUUGCAGAAGGUUGUGAAAGUGAAAGGCAGUUGUGGUCCUGUCAGUGAAUUUGGAGGCUUCCCCAAUAAUCAUACCUAGGUUAACUGAAAUGUAAAUAGCCGUCCCCAUUUGGAUUGUUGUCCUGUCAGUCAGUUUUCUUCCUUUCCCAAAGUGUAAAAAGGUUUGUCGAUGCUUCAUCAUAUCAUAAGUCGGGUCUGGCGGGGUCUGCCCGGGCAAGUGGUUGUUUAUAUGGGCCAGGAAGGGAGAAUGCAUGCACAUGUCUCCUCACAGAUGUUCUUCAAUAGAUAGAUGCUCCUUUCCAGCUAAUAUAGCAUUAGAGGUGAGUUGUUACUAUGGCUUGCUUUAACCAGUGUUGUCCAGGUCAUUCUUUCUAAGCAUUGGACUAUCAUCAUCCAGUGUUGUCGUCAUAGCAGGGCUUCAUUGUCCAUUUGUACAUAUGAACUGCAUUUGUACAGUAGUUAAUUCUCUUAAGAUAAGUUGUAAUGCAUGUUUGUCCUUGGGUGUAUCUGGCAUAUUUUGAAUAAUUAAGUGAAAAAGAAGCUUGUCUCUGUGU
rnacentral:rRNA from 1 species